GGAAAUUCUACAUUUCUUCAAAGACUAGACCGGGGAGGUCCAGCCACCAUUGCAUCGCAACUCAGGCUGCAGUACAUCGGGAUCCUGGAGAUGGUGAAGAGCAUCCGACAUGGGUACCCUGUCCGCCUUUCCUUCUCCGAUUUCCUGUCGAGAUUGGAGUUCGGAAAGUGUUCCUGAAAUACUGGCACGCCAGCCAGCUGAACGAUCUGUGCCGCCAGCUGCAGAGAAAAAUUAUCACCUGCCAAAAAGUGGUCAGAGGAUUUUUAGCUCGCCAGCACUUGGAUCAGAAAAGGAGAGUCCGGCAGCAGGAGGUCACGUCCAUCAACAGCUUCCUGCAGGUCACAGAGGACCUGGGGCUGAAGACCUAUGACGCCCUGGUCGUUCAGAACGCCUCGGACAUAGCCCGCGAGAAUGACCGGCUCCGGAACGAGAUGAACACUGCUUUCCACAAAGAGAAGCUGGAGGCCAGGGGCAAGCAGGAG
rnacentral:lncRNA from 1 species